AAAGAUUUAGUUUAAUAAUUAAAACAUUAAUUUGUCAAAUUAAAGAUAUUUAAUUUAAUAAUAAUCUUUA
rnacentral:tRNA from 1 species